rnacentral:rRNA from 1 species
AUGUGAUAAGUAAUGUGAAUUGCAGAAUCUCGUGAAUCAUCGAAUCUUUGAACACACAUUGCGCCCUAUGGUAUUCCGUAGGGCAUGCCUGUCUAAGCGUCAGCUCCCCCACCCUCAAGCUUCUUUAUUGAGACUUGGAUUACUUUAAAGAAGUGGUUGAAAUAUAAUAGGCUGCUCUUUAGAAAUUCAUAGGCAGUAUGGCACCUGAACCAGGCGUAAUAAAGAUAUAAAAGCGUCUCUCUUUAGGAUAGUUGUACUUGCCUCAACUCAUCUAUUUUCUCAUGGGUGACCUCACAUCAGGUAGGGAUACCCACUAAACUUAA